AUUGAACGCUGGCGGCAGGCCUAACACAUGCAAGUCGAGCGGAGCGGCGGACGGGUGAGUAAUGCCUAGGAAUCUGCCUGGUCGUGGGGGAUAACGUCCGGAAACGGGCGCUAAUACCGUAUACUAUCACCUGAGCCUAGGUCGGAUUAGCUAGUUGGUGGGGUAAAGGCCUACCCAGGCGACGAUCCGUAACUGGUCUGAGAGGAUGAUCAGUCACACUGUAACGGAAACACGGUCCAGACUCCUACGGGAGGCAGCAGUGGGGAAUAUUGGACAAUGGGCGAAAGCCUGAUCCAGCCAUGCCGCGUGUGUGAAGAAGGUCUUCGGAUUGUAAAGCACUUUAAGUUGGGAGGCGUUACCAACAGAAUAAGCACCGGCUAACUUCGUGCCAGCAGCCGCGGUAAUUC
rnacentral:rRNA from 1 species